rnacentral:rRNA from 1 species
GAUGAACGCUGGCGGCGUGCCUAAUACAUGCGAGUCGAGCGAACAGAUGAGGAGCUUGCUCCUCUGACGUUAGCGGCGGACGGGUGAGUAACACGUGGAUAACCUACCUAUAAGACUGGGAUAACUUCGGGAAACCGGAGCUAAUACCGGAUAAUAUAUUGAACCGCAUGGUUCAAUAGUGAAAGACGGUUUUGCUGUCACUUAUAGAUGGAUCCGCGCCGCAUUAGCUAGUUAGUAAGGUAACGGCUUACCAAGGCAACGAUGCGUAGCCGACCUGAGAGGGUGACCGGCCACACUGGAACUGAGACACGGUCCAGACUCCUACGGGAGGCAGCAGUAGGGAAUCUUCCGCAAUGGGCGAAAGCCUGACGGAGCAACGCCGCGUGAGUGAUGAAGGUCUUCGGAUCGUAAAACUCUGUUAUUAGGGAAGAACAAAUGUGUAAGUAACUAUGCACGUCUUGACGGUACCUAAUCAGAAAGCCACGGCUAACUACGUG